rnacentral:rRNA from 1 species
GAUGAACGCUAGCGGCAGGCCUAAUACAUGCAAGUCGAACGGUGUCUUCGGACAUAGUGGCGCACGGGUGCGUAACACGUAUGCAACCUACCUUACAUUGGGGGAUAGCCUUUCGAAAGGGAGAUUAAUACCGCAUAAGACAGUAGCUGGGCAUCCAGCAGCUGUCAAAGAUUUAUCGAUGUAAGCUGGGCAUGCGUCCAAUUAGCUAGUUGGUGAGGUAACGGCUCACCAAGGCAAUGAUUGGUAGGGGAACUGAGAGGUCAAUCCCCCACCCUGGCACUGAGAUACGGGCCAGACUCCUACGGGAGGCAGCAGUAGGGAAUAUUGGGCAAUGGACGCAAGUCUGACCCAGCCAUGCCGCGUGCAGGAUGAAGGCGUUAUGCGUUGUAAACUGCUUUUAUACAGGAAGAAACGACUCUUGCGAGAGGCAUUGACGGUACUGUAUGAAUAAGCACCGGCUAACUCCGUGCCAGCCGCCGCAGUAAAAC